rnacentral:rRNA from 1 species
CAAUAGCGUAUAUUUAAGUUGUUGCAGUUAAAAAGCUCGUAGUUGGAUUUUGGGUCGGGGGCACCGGUCCGCCGUUCCGGUGUGCACUGGUGGCCCCUUCCUUUCUGCCGGGGACGUGCGUCGCACUUAAUUGGGUGGCGUUCGGAGUCGGCGUUGUUACUUUGAAAAAAUUAGAGUGUUCAAAGCAAGCCAUCGCUCUGAAUACAUUAGCAUGGAAUAACAUGAUAGGACUCCGGUCUUAUUUUGUUGGUUUCCGAGACUGGAGUAAUGAUUAAGAGGGACAGUCGGGGGCAUCCGUAUUUCAUUGUCAGAGGUGAAAUUCUUGGAUUUAUGAAAGACGAACUUCUGCGAAAGCAUUUGCCAAGGAUGUUCUCAUUAA